rnacentral:rRNA from 1 species
CCUACGGGAGGCAGCAGUGGGGGAUAUUGCACAAUGGGGGGAACCCUGAUGCAGCGACGCCGCGUGGGUGAAGAAGCGCCUCGGCGCGUAAAGCCCUGUCAGCAGGGAAGAAAAUGACGGUACCUGAAGAAGAAGCCCCGGCUAACUACGUGCCAGCAGCCGCGGGAAUUCGUAGGGGGCAAGCGUUAUCCGGAUUUACUGGGUGUAAAGGGGGCGCAGACGGCGAUGCAAGCAAGGAGUGAAAGCCCGGGGCCCAACCCCGGGACUGCUCUUGGAACUGCGUGGCUGGAGUGCAGGAGGGGCAGGCGGAAUGCCUGGUGUAGCGGUGAAAUGCGUAGAUAUCAGGAGGAACACCGGUGGCGAAGGCGGCCUGCUGGACUGCAACUGACGUUGAGGCUCGAAAGCGUGGGGAGCAAACAGGAUUAGAUACCCCUGUAGUC